AACGAACGCUGGCGGCAGGCUUAACACAUGCAAGUCGAACGCAUGCCUUCGGGCAUGAGUGGCAGACGGGUGAGUAACGCGUGGGAACCUACCCCUUGGUACGGGAUAGCUCCGGGAAACUGGAGAUAAUACCGUAUGUGUCCUGAGGGACAAAGAUUCAUCGCCAAGGGAUGGGCCCGCGUCGGAUUAGCUAGUUGGUGGGGUAACGGCCUACCAAGGCGACGAUCCGUAGCUGGUCUAAGAGGAUGAUCCGCCACAUUGGGACUGAGACACGGCCCAAACUCCUACGGGAGGCAGCCGUGGGGAAUAUUGGACAAUGGGCGCAAGCCUGAUCCAGCCAUGCCGCGUGAGUGAUGAAGGCCCUAGGGUUGUAAAGCUCUUUCACCGGUGACGAUAAUGACGGUAACCGGAGAAGAAGCCCCGGCUAACUUCGUG
rnacentral:rRNA from 1 species